CCUACGCUGUGAUAGGUAUUUUAUAUAUACGUACGGCCGACCGGUCCCGGCCGCUGGUCACCCCGCCCUUCCGUCGCGCACCGCGGGAGACCCCGCGCUCGCGGGCGCCGCGGCCCGCGACAUUCCGCUCUCAGCAUUGCUACGCACAGGCUGCGUCUCCUUAUAUUAAAUCCUGUCCGCGGAGCGAUCGCUACUGCGCGGACGUGUUAAAUAUUUAAUUUGAAUUUUAAUUAAGUACAUUAAAAUCAGUGAUUCCCAUAUUGGGAACUCCCUGCGGGUUGGCAUUUAUGCCACCACGACCUUGGGCUUGAUGAAGCCUUAAGCGCUACCUCCGAUGGCUCAGCUACCGUCGUGAGCUGCCUACGUGUUGACCUUGGAUGACCUUGACCUUGGCUUCGCCUCGUCUCUUGGCCUUAAGUCAAUCUCCACCACGCUACGCACACCCGAGGGACGUGGGGUAUUGUACUGGAAGACCGGCCAACUCUCUAGUAGACAGACCCAGAAUCUAGGCUUCGAACCCACUCUUGUCCUAGCAUAAUUUUUAGAAUUAGUCUUAACUAAAAUAGAAUUAACGCCUUAACUUAUUAAAUAAAAUCUUACUUUACUACUCUAAGCUAUAAACUUAAUUACUAGGCUCAAACUUAAUCUAAACUUAAUACCUACGACUUACUUAUAUAUAGAAAUUGAACCUUAUCUUUAAACAUUAAACGAGAUAGUGUAUGUUAGAAUUAGAGUUAAUUAAAUAAAUUGUUAUUUUAGAUUUCAA